rnacentral:rRNA from 1 species
UACGUAGGGUGCGAGCGUUACUCGGAAUUGCUGGGCGUAAAGCGUGCGCAGGCGGUUCGCCAAGUCAGGUGUGAAAUCCCCGGGCUUAACCUGGGAAUUGCGCUUGAAACUAGCGGGCUUGAGUGUGGCAGAGGGGGGUGGAAUUCCACGUGUAGCAGUGAAAUGCGUAGAGAUGUGGAGGAACACCGAUGGCGAAGGCAGCCCCCUGGGUCAACACUGACGCUCAUGCACGAAAGCGUGGGGAGCAAACAGG